CACCACCACCGGCAUACCAGGACAAUCCUGCUGGAUACCCUCCCUCCUUUCCAAGCCAGCCAGUUCCCCCGGGCCCCUAUGCCCAAGGGCCAUAUCCAGGGCAAUCCGUGGUCACCGUGCAGCCUACAGUUUUUGUGACCGCUGCUCCACUGGCCAGUCCACAGCCAGAUUACAUGUGCUAUUCCAUCUUUACCAUGCUGUGCUGCUGCUUACCUCUGGGCAUCGCUGCACUGGUUUUCUCCUGCUCUACUCGAAAUGCCAACUACUCAGGACAGCAAGCAUUAGCAGAGAAGAACUCCAAAAUGGCACGCACCCUGAAUAAUGUCGGUGUUGUUAUUGGGCUUGUCCUCAUUGUAUUGUUUAUUAUCUUACAGUUUGUGAAGAAUUAGAGAUAACAGCUGUUAGAGCUGUCAUGUUUGGAUGCAGAUUUGGUUCUCUGCUUUUUAAAUGUUAUUUGAUCAAUGUAUCAAAUAAGAGAUUUAUUUAGUUCUUACAACUUCAUUACAGUUCAGUGUCAUUAUACAUAAAACAUGAUUAUUGCUUUAUGCUGAUUAUUGUUAUUUUUAUGAUUAUUUUUUAUGACUUUGACUGGCCAGCUAAAUUUAUCUGUCUGUCAUUUUAUUUUCUAGCAAACUAUAAGGCCAACCUAUUGACAAACCAUUUUCAAUAUUGUUUUUUUUACUUAUGUUUUUUUUUUUUUUUUUACUUUUGCUUAUCUUAAAUAUCUUGGGUGCAGCUGUGCUGGGUUUUUUUUUUUUUUUUUUUUACAUGCAUGCAUGUGCAUAAUUUUUACAUUUACAUGUGUAAUACAGGGUGAACUCAAAAACAAAGGAGAGCUGGAUCCAAAAGCAGUGAGUUUUAUUUACAAAAAUAAACAUAAGCUAAUCAAACAUGUGAUCCAGGAAAAGAAUGAGUGCACCAAACAUAACAUCCAUGUAAGAACAAGACUAGACAAGGAACACAAGAAAUACUGGGGUUUAGAUACACAAAGGCAUAUGCCACAUGUCAGUCAAGAGCAAAGAAAUAAACCAGAACUGGACCUUAUCUGAGCCACAAAAUCUUUAUAUAUUAUUUGUAGAAUCAUCUUAGCAUUAACAAGCCUGUUAACAAGCAAGAUCACUGAAGGAAAGAAGAGAACAGAAAAAAGAGACAAACAGAAACACAAGAGCUACAACUGACUUAGAUGAGCCACAGCCUUAGAUGAAAUCAACUGAAGAUAAAAGAAGGCAUUUAAUCUCUCCAGAUCUCAGCAGAGGAGGGUUAAACAACUCCAAAAACAGCAUUAACAUUAACAUAUUACUAACUAGAUUGACUUUAUUUCUGUCAUUUAUCUACAGAAGUUCUUACUGAAAAUUAAAAGAAGUUUAAAGCUCAUGUUUGUUUCAUCUGUGGUCACCAUAAUGGUGAUUGGUGUUUCCAUUAGUUGGGCUCUUAACUCUUGUAAUAUGUUUGUCUUUGCUGGCUGGUGUGAGAGUGUGUUUGUAAAACACGUUUGCAGUAGCAAAAAUGUUUAAAUGAGAUUGAGGAUGCUCUGUCUCGAUCAGGAGCAGUUAAAUAAUUUUAAUGACACCACACAAUAGAGGAUUGUUUGGAAACCCCCCUCCCCCCCACACACACAUUGCCGACUACUUGUCUGGCAUGCGUAAUACAGCGUUUUUAGUCAUUUGCGUGGAUCCAUGUGAAUGGGGAUUUUUGAUAACGUCAUCUGUACAAAGAAAAAACGUUUCUGUUUUUCGUACAUUGUUGUCAUGUAAACAUACCUUUAGUGUUAGUUUUUCUCUUGCUGCUGAAACUGUUAUCUGUGGCAAACAUAGCAAGGGGAAAUGUGGUCAGGGGAUGUUGACAACUUGAUAAGGAAGAGGUUGUCAUCAUUUAGUGGUCUAAUCAGACAGAGUGGGUUUUUUCAUCAUGUAGAUGUAAUACAGUAAAGUUUAACUACAUAGUCUGUUAUAGAAUGCACUGCGGAAUGAAGCAUGUCACCAUUGUUGAGAUUUAUAUUUCUACAUAAGAGGGUUUAUGCUUGGAAAGAUGCUUGAGAAGCCCUGCAGCAGUCAACCUUAAGCUUUCACCUGCACAGCCACUGUAACUAAGAAUUGUUGAGCCCCGUCUAUAUCUGGAUAGGAGACCUCCUGGGAGACUGGGUAGCCGUGGGAAGAGGUGUUAGAGACAUAGACAUAAUAAAUACAUAGACGCCCUAUUGGCUGCUUUGGACUGUUGCUGCGAUGCGUCAACAAGUCCGCCAGAUUGUGCAGGGCAAGACUCCUCAUUAAACAAAUGCAAGUAAAUGGGGAGCUGUGGCUUUUCUGGACAAAAAGCGCAAUAAAGUUUACAUUUCUCAACCAAUUCCAACGGUUUAUGAUCUGCAUGGAGUACGAAAAAGGUUUUGUCUCCAAUUAUUCAGAAUCUCGCUAGUUUGAACUUGAUAAUUAUUCAUUGUCAUAAGGAAUUGUGAAAACUCACGCUUCUCAAGCAUAGACUUGGUUUAUUUUUCAAGGUUAAUAAUUGUGGAGAUGUUCCUAAUGUAAUAUAAUUUAUUGUACAUGAAAUGUGCACAUCGAUUUUAAUUGUGGAAAUGCUUUUCUUUCUUCAACAAUGCCAUUUUAGCUUUUUCCCUCGUGCCUUUAGCUUUUCCUCUUGAAUCACAUCACAGGAUGUCACAGGACAAUUUCAAAUAAAUAUGAAGAAAAUUUGCAUCUCAAAACCUUAUUAAUCAUUUAAUUAUCUACAGGCCUAAGCAUUUCACAGAUUUGAUGUCAGUACACCAUAGUUAAUGUACUAAAUGAAUUUAUUUUCGAUUCAAAUGGAUUGCAACAAGAUAUAAAAGGAUUGGGCUUAAAAGAUCUCUUAUCCUGUGGCUCGCUCUAGUGGACAACAUUAAAAGCACAGCUUGUACUAAUUAUUAUAAGACAAUCCUUAAAGGAUUAGUCCACUUUUAAAUAAACUUUUCCUGAUAAAGUUUACUCACCCCCAUGUCAUCCAAGAUGUUUAUGUCUUUCUUUCUUCAGUCGAAAAGAAAUGAAGGUUUUUGACGAAAACAUUCCAGGAUUAUUCUCCUUAUAGUGGACUUCAAUGGCCUCCAAACGGUUGAAGGUCAAAAUUACAGUUUCAGUGCAGCUUCAAAGGGCUUUAAACGAUACUAGACGAGGAAUAAGGGUCUUAUCUAGCGAAACGAUAGGUCAUUUCCGAAAAAAAUGUAAAUGUAUAUGCUUUAUAUAAACAAAUGUUCGCCUUCUAAGUGCUUUCGCCAAAACCGCAUUUCUGUAUUCUCCAAAAAGUUUACGCUGUUUGUCCUACGCCUUCCCUAUUCUACUUACGGAACGAACGCAGCGCCAGUUACAUUUUUUCCGUAAGUUGAAUAGGGUAGGCGUAGGACAUACAGCGUAAACUUUUGAGGGCUCUUGGAAAAGCACAGAACAGUCUGACAGGCUUUCUUCAGCCUUCCUUGAGGUUUGUGUUGUUCUGGUUCCACUGGUUAAACUGGGGUAAAAAUAUAAAUGAGCCACGAUUAGAUCAAUCAAAUCACCUGCUCUUCGGAGCUAAGUCGGUUUAGGUCUAUCUGUACUUCUGACAGUCUGUCCUGUCAAAGUCUUCUGGCUUCAUUGCACGGAAGACUCGCUUGCGAUUUAGAUUAGUUCAUAAUAUAAACUAUAAUAUAAUCUCGGCCUUCAUAAGAAUCAUGUAAACUUAUUUUCUUUUAAAUUCUCAGUUUUCAUAGCUAACUAGCAUUAUCGCUAGCUAUUAAUAGUCUGACUUUGGUGGCCAACUAGCUAUCAAAAUAAUGUUAUAAUGACCAAAUACAACCAGAAACAACUGUUCAGACUUACAUGUGAAAGGUAAUUCCCCGAUAUGUGGUUUGGAUUGUGCGACAAUUUGUAAAACCUCAAAAUAGACAAGCAUCUUUUCUUCAGUCCACUUAUGAGAGUUACGGCAUGUUGCCCCGCCCAAUAUGGCGGCGCCGUUGACGUGCGAUCCAGCGGCCAAUAGGGCGUCUAUGUAUUUAUUAUGUCUAUGGUUAGAGAGGCCAGCAGGUCUGAUCAGCCUGUGGCCUGAGUGGGUUCUAACGCCCCAGUACAGUCGCAACCAGCUGUACUGUAUAAAGGAUGUAACUCUAGUGUAAAAUAGUCCAUACAGCACAUACCGCCCAACACCGCAUUACAGUCACCAUAAACUGUACUGUACAAAGGGUUAACAUAACCCCCAGAAUAUAAGGGGUGUAACCCUGGUGUAAAAUAGUCCAUACAGCACAUCAUGUACCGCCCAACACCCCAGCACAGUCGCCAUAAACUGUACUGAAUAAAUGGUGUAACCCUGGGGCAAAAAUGAUCCCUACAUACCAUGCAGAUAGUUAGUUUCACAUUACAAAUGAUAUAGUACUUUAUAUAGUUCUUACAACUUACAUGGAUACACUCUAUUUUUUUUUUUUUGUUUGUUUUUUAUUAUUAUUACUAUUUUUAAUGUGUUUGAAAGAAGUCUCAUGCUCAUCAAGACUGCAUUCAUUUGAUCAAAAAUACAGAAAAACAGUAAUAUUGUGAAGUAUUAUUACAAUUUAAAAUAAUGUUUUUCUAUUUUAAUGUACUUAAAAAUAUUAUUUACAAACAAAACCGACAGUUUGAACUGUUUCAACUUCAGCCAUUAUUGAAAUUUCAUAACGGAACAAAAUUGACAGUCAUUGAGGUCUAGUAAAGGAACAAAACCCACCAUCAUUGAAAUUUCCCAAUAAAACACAACCAACCAUUAAUGAAAUGUUAUAACGAAACAAAACUGACCAUCUUUGAAAUCUCAUAACAGAAGAAAACUAACCAUCAUUGAAAAAUGACCGUCAUUGAAAACUUGUAAAGGAACAAAACUGACCGUCAUUGAGAUCUCGCAAAGGAACAAAACCAACCGUCAUUGUAAUCUUGUAAUGAAACAAAACUGACAGUCACUGAGACCUUGUAAAAGAACAAAACCAAAUGUCUUUGAAAUCAGUUUGAAUAAUUUCAAACUUGACUGUCAUUGAAAUCUCAUAACGGAAUAAAACUGACCAUCAUUGAGAUCUCUUAAUGGAACAAAACCGACCAUCAUUGAGAUCUCACAUAAGGGAACAUAACUGACUGUCAUUGUGAUCUCGUAACAAAACUGUUUUUGAAAUCUUGUAACAGAAAAAAACGACCGUCAUUGAAAACUGACCGUCAUUGAAAUCUUGUCAAGGAACAAAACUGUCAUUGAGAUCUCACAAAGUGAAAAUCUCUAUUCUCCUUAUAAAAAACUAAUCUUAUAAAACUCGUAAUGAAACAAAACUGUCUUUAAAAUCUGAAACAGAAAAAAAACUGACCGUCAUUGAAAACUCGUAGGAACAAAACCGACCAUCAUUGAAAUCUCGUAAAAGAACAAAAUAUACUAUAUUGAGAUCUCGUAACUAUACAAUUGAAAAUUUGACUGACUGACAAUGAAACCAACCAUCAUUUAAAUACCGUAAUGGAACAAAACAGACCAUCUUUUAAAUAUCGCAAAAGGAACAAAACAAACCAUAAAUUAAAUAUUGUAACGAAACCGACAGUUUGAUUUGGUUCAAAUUCAACCGUCAUUGAAAUCUCAUAACGGAACCAACCCAACUGUCAUUGAGAUCUCAUAACUGAACAAAAUUUAGUGAUUUAGUUAUUGCUUUUACAUGAUUAUUGAAACUCAGGUCUGACUCCAAAAUCACACCAAGAUUCCUGACUUGAUUUUUAGUUGUUUGACCCCUAGAGUGAAGGUAUGCAUUCUUCAUCUUUGUUUCCAAACGCAAUGACUUCAGUUUUGUCUUUGUUUAACUGAAGGAAGUUUUGGCACAUCCAAUUUUUAAUUUCAUCAAUGCAUUGGCACAGGGAGUCAAUGGGGCUAUAGUCGUUAGGUGACAGAGCUAGGUAGAUCUGGGUGUCAUCUGCAUAGCUGUGAUAUGCAAUUUAGUUCUUUCUCAGGCUCAGUGGCAGCAUAUACAGAACAGAAGAAACCUGAAAGUCAUUGUCCCGACAGUCAUUGUCCCCACCACCAUUGUGAAUUACCCCCCUCAUAAACUCAUAAAGUUACAUGUUGAUUCCACCAGGUGGCAACUGCAGUCAAGCUGGAGAAGUUACAGUAAACAGUAAAUCUGUGUCAAAAUUCUUGUCGCUCCUCCCUAUACAGUACAACACAACCCAACUACUACUAGUCACCAAAAGAGGAACCUGCAUCAACAGAUCAGUCUUCACCUGACUACACAUUGAAGACAGACGUACAGAUCUUUUUUAUUCUUUCAGGGGUGCAGGGGGGAAAAUGCAAUCAGAGAGAAACAUGGAUCUCAAAACAUCAUCUCAGAAUCCAAAAAUAGGGCAGCCUUUACUUCCACUGCAGCAGGAUCCUCCAGAGUACACCAGUGUUGGAUUUCCUCCAUCUGAGAUCUAUCCCAGCACUUCAGGUCAACCUGCCCAGCAGUAUGGAGCUCCGGCAGCAUCUGGCCAGUGCACCCAAGGGCUACAUCCAGGGCAAACUGUGGACUCAAAAUGCCAACGACUCAGGACAGCAAGUUUUAGCAGAGAAGAACUCCAAAACGGCACGCACCCGGAAACCUGCCUGGGCUGCAGUUGGCGUUUUCUUUGGUUUAUUGUUGAUUGUCUUAAAGUUUAUGAUUAUUAAGAAUAAAUACAGUAAAAGCUAAUAGAGCUGUGAUGGUUGGGUGCAGAUUACAAAGAGUUCUCUGCAUUAUAAAUGUUAUUUGCUCAAUGUAUCAUUGUACUUAAAACAAAGCUUGUUAUGGUAUGUUGAAAACAACAAAAGCUUUGAUUGGCCAAUUAAAUUUUUCAUGAAAAACAGUA